CACGAAGCCGGAAUCGCUAGUAAUCGCAGAUCAGCAUGCUGCGGUGAAUACGUUCCCGGGUCUUGUACACACCGCCCGUCACACCAUGGGAGCCGGGAAUGCCCGAAGUCAGCGGCCCAACCGAAGGGGGAGCUGCCGAAGGCAGGCCUGGUGACUGGGGUGAAGUCGUAACAAGGUAGC
rnacentral:rRNA from 1 species